CAUGAGGCUCUUCCACAUCCUGCUGCUGCCUCUCUGCCUGCUCUUCGCCCAGGUGGGCCCAGACUCAGAGUGUCCGGAUGCCGCAUUGUCAACGUUCAGAUGGACUUGCCCUCUAUCAAGUCUCGGGGUGAUUGGGAGCGUCCCAUGCAAAGCACAGAGAACACCAGUGCUCCCCGCGAUGCAGGAGCAGUGGUCUCACGCAGCGCUCUGAUGGAAGCACCAGCUGAGCCCUGCCGGGUGGCCUGUGGAUUGGAGCACCAUCCUGUGCACCAAAAGCCUCCAGAGCCGCCCCAUGCACUCGGGACAAUCUAAACAGGACUGAGUGACAGCUGUCCCGAGCUUAACCAGAAGCGCUGCGGACAGUCCGGCCAUGGAGGCCUCUGGGAGAGCGGGCUGCGUGGGCUGCGCCUGCAGAGGAGGCUGGGAUCUUGGGUGCAUCCCGUGUGCUCUGCAGGGUUGCUGCUUUGCAGGAGGGGCUUGUCUUUGGUUUAGCCACAGUGGUCACCAACCUCAGACGGAGGACAUAGACCUCCGAUGGAGGACAUAGACCUCAGACAGAGGACAAAGACCUCAGAUGGUGGGCACAGACCUCAGGCAGCUGGCAUAAACCUCAGACGGAGGGCACAGAACUCAGAUGGAGGGCAUAAACCUCAGACAAAAGGCACAGGCUUUUGCAUGAGCAGUCCCAGAGGUGCUGGCCUCCUCGCGAGUCUGUUACACAGGAGUCCAGAAUACAUAUGUGCCAAAAAGGGGG